UACGGAGGGAGCUAGCGUUGUUCGGAAUUACUGGGCGUAAAGCGCACGUAGGCGGCUCAGCAAGUCAGGGGUGAAAUCCCGGGGCUCAACCCCGGAACUGCCCUUGAAACUGCUAAGCUAGAAUCUUGGAGAGGCGAGUGGAAUUCCGAGUGUAGAGGUGAAAUUCGUAGAUAUUCGCAAGAACACCAGUGGCGAAGGCGGCUCACUGGCCCGAUACUGACGCUGAGGUGCGAAAGCGUGGGGAGCAAACAGG
rnacentral:rRNA from 1 species